AUCUCUAAUUCUCAAUACUUUGAGAAUAUGUAUCGAAGUAUUAAUUCCAUAGAUGAUUCAAGGAUAUAUCACUCUUGAAUGAAAAUUAGACUUGCUCAUUUAUUGAUCAAAUCAAUGUAUUAAGUACAAAAUUGUGUCCUAAACUUAUAACAAUGUAUCAGCCAUGUUGGCUUCUAGGACAUACAUCUAACAUAAUGAUGGAAAAGAAAAUCAAAUAAGAAGCAGGAAGGUGGAAGGGGGGAA
rnacentral:lncRNA from 1 species